GACGAACGUUGGCGGCGUGCUUAACACAUGCAAGUCGAACGGAAAGGCCCUGCUUUUGUGGGGUGCUCGAGUGGCGAACGGGUGAGUAACACGUGAGUAACCUGCCCUUGACUUUGGGAUAACUUCAGGAAACUGGGGCUAAUACCGGAUAGGAGCUCCUGCUGCAUGGUGGGGGUUGGAAAGUUUCGGCGGUUGGGGAUGGACUCGCGGCUUAUCAGCUUGCUGGUGGGGUAGUGGCUUACCAAGGCUUUGACGGGUAGCCGGCCUGAGAGGGUGACCGGCCACAUUGGGACUGAGAUACGGCCCAGACUCCUACGGGAGGCAGCAGUGGGGAAUAUUGCACAAUGGGCGGAAGCCUGAUGCAGCAACGCCGCGUGCGGGAUGACGGCCUUCGGGUUGUAAACCGCUUUCGCCUGUGACGAAGCGUGAGUGACGGUAAUGGGUAAAGAAGCACCGGCUAACUACGUGCCAGCAGCCGCGGUGAUACGUAGGGUGCGAGCGUUGUCCGGAUUUAUUGGGCGUAAAGGGCUCGUAGGUGGUUGAUCGCGUCGGAAGUGUAAUCUUGGGGCUUAACCCUGAGCGUGCUUUCGAUACGGGUUGACUUGAGGAAGGUAGGGGAGAAUGGAAUUCCUGGUGGAGCGGUGGAAUGCGCAGAUAUCAGGAGGAACACCAGUGGCGAAGGCGGUUCUCUGGGCCUUUCCUGACGCUGAGGAGCGAAAGCGUGGGGAGCGAACAGGCUUAGAUACCCUGGUAGUCCACGCUGUAAACGGUGGGUACUAGGUGUGGGGUCCAUUCCACGGGUUCCGUGCCGUAGCUAACGCUUUAAGUACCCCGCCUGGGGAGUACGGCCGCAAGGCUAAAACUCAAAGGAAUUGACGGGGCCCCGCACAAGCGGCGGAGCAUGCGGAUUAAUUCGAUGCAACGCGUAGAACCUUACCUGGGUUUGACAUGGAUCGGGAGUGCUCAGAGAUGGGUGUGCCUCUUUUGGGGUCGGUUCACAGGUGGUGCAUGGCUGUCGUCAGCUCGUGUCGUGAGAUGUUGGGUUAAGUCCCGCAACGAGCGCAACCCUUGUUCACUGUUGCCAGCACGUUAUGGUGGGGACUCAGUGGAGACCGCCGGGGUCAACUCGGAGGAAGGUGGGGAUGACGUCAAGUCAUCAUGCCCCUUAUGUCCAGGGCUUCACGCAUGCUACAAUGGCUGGUACAGAGAGUGGCGAGCCUGUGAGGGUGAGCGAAUCUCGGAAAGCCGGUCUCAGUUCGGAUUGGGGUCUGCAACUCGACCUCAUGAAGUCGGAGUCGCUAGUAAUCGCAGAUCAGCAACGCUGCGGUGAAUACGUUCCCGGG
rnacentral:rRNA from 1 species